AACGAACGCUGGCGGCAGGCUUAACACAUGCAAGUCGAACGCAUCCUUCGGGGUGAGUGGCAGACGGGUGAGUAACGCGUGGGAACGUGCCCUUCAGUUCGGGAUAACCCAGGGAAACUUGGGCUAAUACCGGAUACGUGCGAGAGCAGAAAGAUUUAUCGCUGAAGGAUCGGCCCGCGUCUGAUUAGCUAGUUGGUGGGGUAAGGGACCACCAAGGCGACGAACAGUAGCUGGUCUGAGAGGAUGAUCAGCCACAUGGGGACUGAGACACGGCCCAAACUCCUACGGGAGGCAGCAGUGGGGAAUAUUGGACAAUGGGCGCAAGCCUGAUCCAGCCAUGCCGCGUGAGUGAUGAAGGCCUUAGGGUUGUAAAGCUCUUUCGUCCGGGACGAUAAUGACGGUACCGGAAGAAGAAGCCCCGGCUAACUUCGUGCCAGCCGCCGCUGUAA
rnacentral:rRNA from 1 species